CCACAACCAUGAAAUAGUAGCAUAAAAAGUAAAAUAUUAUAAUAAGUUGGAGACACUCAAUUCAUCGUUGAUGCAUACGAGCCGAUGCCAUUCGUUUUGGAGGUGUACAGACUACAUUCAUUCAUGUCAUAAAAAUUAUGUAAAGUACUUAAUAACAUAAGUUCCAGCUGUCAACCAAUUAAUUUGAAAUUAAUUUCUUCAUUGUUGGCCGUAAUCGUUGUCAAAGUAAUCAUAAGUUGGAUUUUAAUGUCGCAAACCCACCUGCUGGGUCUUUUAUAUUACCAUAAAAAGAAGUUAGUGAUUUAUGUCAAGCUUGUCUCCAUAUUGACCAAACGCAACACAAAAUCUGAUAAA